CAGAUUCCAGAUUCCAGAUUGCAAAUAAGUGAAAUGGUCAUGGUGCCUAGAGUAAGCUUUUAAUGCCCAUACUUUGCUAGUAAGAAAGGACUUCACAAUAAUUAAUUUAAUCAAACCCUGUGGUUGAUUGCCCAUACCAGUGUAUUAAGUUUCUCUCAUCUAUGAAACGGACUGAUAUGCAAGCAGAUAACAUUCACAGAUAUAGCAUCUUC